rnacentral:rRNA from 1 species
GACGAACGCUGGCGGCGUGCUUAACACAUGCAAGUCGAACGGUAAGGCCCUUCGGGGUACACGAGUGGCGAACGGGUGAGUAACACGUGGGUGAUCUGCCCUGCACUUCGGGAUAAGCCUGGGAAACUGGGUCUAAUACCGGAUAGGACCACUGCCUGCAUGGGUGGUGGUGGAAAGCUUUUGCGGUGUGGGAUGGGCCCGCGGCCUAUCAGCUUGUUGGUGGGGUGAUGGCCUACCAAAGCGACGACGGGUAGCCGGCCUGAGAGGGUGACCGGCCACACUGGGACUGAGAUACGGCCCAGACUCCUACGGGAGGCAGCAGUGGGGAAUAUUGCACAAUGGGCGCAAGCCUGAUGCAGCGACGCCGCGUGAGGGAUGACGGCCUUCGGGUUGUAAACCUCUUUCAGCACCGACGAAGCGCAAGUGACGGUAGGUGCGGAAGAAGGACCGGCCAACUACGUGCCAGCAGCCGCGGUAA